UACGAAGGGGGGCUAGCGUUGCUCGGAAUCACUGGGCGUAAAGCGCACGUUAGGCGGCUUUUUAAGUCAGGGGUGAAAUCCUGGAGCUCAACUCCAGAACUGCCUUUGAUACUGAGAGCUUGAGUCCGGGAGAGGUGAGUGGAACUGCGAGUGUAGAGGUGAAAUUCGUAGAUAUUCGCAAGAACACCAGUGGCGAAGGCGGCUCACUGGCCCGGUACUGACGCUGAGGUGCGAAAGCGUGGGGAGCAAACAGGG
rnacentral:rRNA from 1 species